rnacentral:rRNA from 1 species
GAAGUCUAUCUUACGCGCGAGCCAAUGGGCGUUGGGGCGCGGACCCGCAUCCGUGUGGGCCCGCCCCAGUAUACCGAGAACCCCACAGGCGCAGACAACUCGAGACGGUUUCGUCGCGGGAUUACGGGGGCGCGCUUGGCGCAAGCCACGGACGCCUCCCUCCAUCCCAGGGUGCCCCGGUACGGGCUGGCGUGCGGUCACACGUGCGCCACCCAGCGGGCAUCCCCCGAGUGCGUAGGAUGCGACCCGAAAGAUGGUGAACUAUGCCUGAUCAGGUUGAAGUCAGGGGAAACCCUGAUGGAGGACCGAAGCAAUUCUGACGUGCAAAUCGAUUGUCAGAAUUGGGCAUAGGGGCGAAAGACCAAUCGAACCAUCUAGUAG